AAGUCGUAACAAGGUUUCCGUAGGUGAACCUGCGGAAGGAUCAUUAACUCAUGAUUUAACCAUCAUGUUUUAAAAUAAACACAUUAAACUAACUAAACACUCUGUGAACUAUAUAACAAUCGAAAUAUGGAAAGAGAGGUGAUUUUUUGGCUGGCAACAGCUAAGGAGUUAUUUUUUCUUUUCAUGUUAUAACCAACUUAAUUUAUUUUUAACAACAUAUUAACCAAAAUUUUACCGUACAUGCCUAUGUCUGUCGAGUUAUUUACGAUGGGCAACAAGGUCUGACUGAACUAAAACUUCAUUAUCCUAACAGAGGUGAUUUUAAUAAAUAACAAAUAUAUACAACUCUUAACAAUGGAUAUCUUGGCUCUC
rnacentral:misc_RNA from 1 species